GAUGAACGCUGGCGGCGUGCCUAAUACAUGCAAGUCGAGCGAACAGACGAGGAGCUUGCUCCUCUGACGUUAUCGGCGGACGUGUGAUUAACACGUGGAUAACCUACCUAUAAGACUUGGAUAACUUCGGGAAACCGGAUCUAAUACCGGAUAAUAUAUUUAACCUCAUGGUUCAAUAGUGAAAUACGGUUUUUCUGUCUCUUAUAGAUUGAUCCGCGCCGCAUUAGCUAGUUGGGAAGGUAACGGCUUACCAAGGCAACGAUGCGUAGCCGACCUGAGAGGGUGAUCGGCCACACUGGAAGUGAGACACGGACCAGACUCCUACGGGAGGCAGCAGUAGGGAAUCUUCCGCAAUGGGCGAAAGCAUGACGGAGCAACGCCGAGUGAGUGAUGAAGGUCUUCGGAUCGUAAAACUCUGUUAUUAGGGAAGAACAAAUGUGUAAGUAACUAUGCACGUAUUGACGGUACCUAAUCAGAAAGCAACGGCUAACUACGUG
rnacentral:rRNA from 1 species